CUGAAGUUGAUGGGGGUGGGGCCAGCUCCAUGACCACCGGCCCUAGAGGAGGGGGCCAGGGGCGGUGGUUCGGCAGGCAGAGGGCGGCAGCCGGGGCGACAAGGCGGCGACGGUGGGAGGGGAAGGCAGGAGGGCAGCGUGCCAUGACCUGUGUUCCAAAGCUUGUGCGAUGGAGGCGGCAAAAAUCGCUGAAAGCGAUGAAUAGAUGCACCCUUCACUUGCUCCAUUGAGCCAGCGGACCUUUGCCGGCCACCACGACACCAAGCCAGAUGCUCCUGUACAGUGCUUACAAUUUGCACACGAACCUACAACGCUGAAGAGAUACCUGUACCCCUCUUAUGUACCUCGUGCAGAAGAAACGAAAGAACCAAAGAAUGUACACUGCUCAAGCCGUCAGGCGAGCAAAGCCAAAGGAAUGCAAAUAUGCAAUUGCAAUGUUGCAGACCA